rnacentral:ribozyme from 14 species
AUAUUUGUUUGAUAUAGUCUUCUUGUUACACUGCUUUUUCUUUGAUAAUUUGUCACAAUCCUUGCCAUUCAGCUCGUAAUUUUCUUCAUUUUCACAAAUACCACGAGGUGUAACAGUUGGUGCAUUCGUGGAACAUACAGUAUUGCAUUGUAAGGGACAAAAGAACUUAAUCUUCUU